rnacentral:rRNA from 1 species
CCUACGGGGGGCAGCAGUAGGGAAUAUUCCACAAUGAGCGAAAGCUUGAUGGAGCGACACAGCGUGCACGAUGAAGGUCUUCGGAUUGUAAAGUGCUGUUAUAAGGGAAGAACAUUUGCAAUAGGAAAUGAUUGCAGACUGACGGUACCUUGUCAGAAAGCGAUGGCUAACUAUGUGCCAGCAGCCGCGGUAAUACAUAGGUCGCAAGCGUUAUCCGGAAUUAUUGGGCGUAAAGCGUUCGUAGGCUGUUUGUUAAGUCUGGAGUUAAAUCCCGGGGCUCAACCCCGGCUCGCUUUGGAUACUAGCAAACUAGAGUUAGAUAGAGGUAAGCGGAAUUCCAUGUGAAGCGGUGAAAUGCGUAGAUAUAUGGAAGAACACCAAAGGCGAAGGCAGCUUACUGGGUCUAUACUG